rnacentral:rRNA from 1 species
GGGUCAGUAAGUUGGUCGUGCCACCGGUACGUACUGGUCUCACUGAUUCCUCCUUCCUGAAGAACCGUAGUGCCAUUAAUUUGGUGUUGCGGGGAAACAGGACUGUUACUUUGAAAAAAUUAGAGUGUUUAAAGCAAGCUAACGCUUGAAUACAUUAGCAUGGAAUAAUGAAAUAGGACGAUCGAUCCUAUUUUGUUGGUUUCUAGGAUUGACGUA